rnacentral:rRNA from 1 species
UACGAAGGGGGCUAGCGUUGCUCGGAAUCACUGGGCGUAAAGCGCACGUAGGCGGAUUUCUAAGUCAGGGGUGAAAUCCUGGAGCUCAACUCCAGAACUGCCUUUGAUACUGGAGAUCUCGAGUCCGGAAGAGGUGAGUGGAACUGCGAGUGUAGAGGUGAAAUUCGUAGAUAUUCGCAAGAACACCAGUGGCGAAGGCGGCUCACUGGUCCGGUACUGACGCUGAGGUGCGAAAGCGUGGGGAGCAAACAGG